AACACCCUACGGGGGGCAGCAGUGGGGGAUAUUGCACAAUGGGGGGAACCCUGAUGCAGCGACGCCGCGUGGGUGAAGAAGCGCCUCGGCGCGUAAAGCCCCGUCAGCAGGGAAGAAAAUGACGGUACCUGAAGAAGAAGCCCCGGCUAACUACGUGCCAGCAGCCGCAGUAAUACGUAGGGGGCAAGCGUUAUCCGGAUUUACUGGGUGUAAAGGGGGCGCAGACGGCGAUGCAAGCCAGGAGUGAAAGCCCGGGGCCCAACCCCGGGACUGUCCUCGGAACUGCGUGGCUGGAGUGCAGAAGG
rnacentral:rRNA from 1 species